rnacentral:rRNA from 1 species
UUAUGCCUACGGGACGCAGCAGUGAGGAAUAUUGGUCAAUGGGCUUACGCCUGAACCAGCCAAGUCGCGUGAGGGAAGACUGUCCUAUGGAUUGUAAACCUCUUUUGCCGGGGAGCAAAAAGCGGCACGUGUACCGCAUCGAGAGUACCCGGAGAAAAAGCAUCGGCUAACUCCGUGCCAGCAGCCGCGGUAAUACGGAGGAUGCGAGCGUUAUCCGGAUUUAUUGGGUUUAAAGGGUGCGCAGGCGGCGAGUUAAGUCAGCGGUAAAAUUUCGGGGCUCAACCCCGACGAGCCGUUGAAACUGG